UACGAAGGGGGCUAGCGUUGCUCGGAAUCACUGGGCGUAAAGGGCGCGUAGGCGGCCAUUCAAGUCAGAGGUAAAAGCCCAAGGCUCAACCUUGGAACUGCCUUUGAUACUGUUUGGCUUGAGACCGGUAGAGGUAAGUGGAACUGCGAGUGUAGAGGUGAAAUUCGUAGAUAUUCGCAAGAACACCAGUGGCGAAGGCGGCUUACUGGACCGGUUCUGACGCUGAGGCGCGAAAGCGUGGGGAGCAAACAGG
rnacentral:rRNA from 1 species